AACGAACGCUGGCGGCAUGCCUAACACAUGCAAGUCGAACGAGACCUUCGGGUCUAGUGGCGCCCGGGUGCGUAACGCGUGGGAACCUGCCCUUAGGUUCGGAAUAACUCCCCGAAAGGGGUGCUAAUACCGGAUAAUGUCUUCGGACCAAAGAUUUAUCGCCUUUGGAUGGGCCCGCGUUGGAUUAGCUAGUUGGUAGGGUAAAAGCCUACCAAGGCGACGAUCCAUAGCUGGUCUGAGAGGAUGAUCAGCCACACUGGGACUGAGACACGGCCCAGACUCCUACGAGAGGCAGCAGGUGGUAAUAUUGGACAACGGGCGUAAGCCUGAUCCAGCAAGGGCGCGUGAGUGAUGAACGGCUUAGGAUUGUAAAGCGCUAUUACCCGAGAUGAUAAUGACAGUACCGGGAGAAGAAGCACCGGCUAACUCCGUG
rnacentral:rRNA from 1 species